GAAAAACCGAUGAGCAAGAGGAGUACCCGGUUGGGCAACCUUUCAGAGAGCCGUGGGUGGUGGGAUCACGGCAGAGGACUUUCCGGUGAAUGGACUUGCGAGGGCAGAGCGAACAGGCAGCGCCUCAGUAGCCUCUGACGGGGACCGCACCCGUUACCAGGGCGGCACGGAUAGAGGUCCGUGAAACGAGCGGGCGCUAUGCGUCAACUUGGGUGGUACCGCAGGAUUUCAAGUCUUGUCCCAAUG
rnacentral:ncRNA from 1 species